rnacentral:tRNA from 1 species
GAGGCGUUAGUAAAAUAAUUACAUAACCUUGUCAAGGCUAAAUUACAGGUGAGACCCCUGUACGCCUCA